rnacentral:rRNA from 1 species
AGGACGAACGCUGGCGGCGCGCUUAACACAUGCAAGUCGAGCGAGAACCAGGCCUUCGGGCCCGGGGAAAGCGGCGAACGGGUGAGUAACACGUGGGCAACCCACCCUUGGUACCGGGAUAGCCCGAGGAAACUCGGAUUAAUACCGGAUGGCCCAACAGCUCUUCGGGGCGGUUGGAAAAGGUAGCUUCGGCCUCCGACCAAGGACGGGCCCGCGGCGGAUUAGCUUGUUGGUGAGGUAACGGCUCACCAAGGCGACGACGGGUAG